AAGGUUUUCCUAGGACGCGCUUCUUCCACAAAAAUAAAGUUCAUGGCUUGUCUAGACAUGUGACCCCCAACCCGUAGUACAAAGUGACAUCUUUGUACCUAUGUUCCAAGACCGUAACGCUCCUACCAAACGAUGAUUGUAUCUCCCAAAAUUGAUUUGCCAACAUCUCAUCUAUUUUAUGCCAAUAAGUACCCAAAUCACCUUUGGAGGUGGACAAAUAUUCCUUCACCGCACCAUGAGCUCCUUCAACUCUAUUUAUGGUCUUACACCCAAGAUGUAGCACAAGGUCCGUCCAUGCCCUCACUAGUUUGUCCUUAAAAGGCUUCAAAAUGGUAGUUUCAACAUAUUCAAGAAACUUUGGAUGAUCCUUACAAGCAUCUUGGAAUUCCACUAGAUUACCCGCAUAUAACUCUUGAGUAGGAGAUUCAACCAAUUUUUCCCAUGCAUCAAAUAUGGUAUCAACUAACUUACUAUGACUCUCCUCGUCGACAAUCUUCUUUUGCCCAUCUGUAACGCCCUCUCUAAUUAUUUGAUUAUUUUUAAUGAGUUUAGAAUACACUUAUAUGAUUUGUAUGAUUUAUAUGAUUUAUUUUGAUGAGUGAUAUUUUGUUAUGAUAAAUGUUAGUAUUUAUUAGUAUAAUAUAUAUGUUAUUUGAUUUAGAAAUAUAUAUAUGUUAUUUGAUUUAGAAAUAUAUAUAUGUUAUUUGGUUUAGAAAUAUAAAUGUUAUUUGAUUUAGAAAUAUAUAUAUGUUAUUUGAUUUAGAAAUAUAUAUAUGUUAUUUGGUUUAAAAAUAUAAAUGUUAUUUGUUAUAGAAAUACAUAUGAUUUGUUGCAGAAAUAAAUGUGAUUUGUUAUAGAAAUAAAUGUUAUUUGUUGUAGAAAUACACAUGAUUUGUUAUAGAAAUAAAUGUUAUUUGGUGUAGAAAUACACAUGAUUUGUUGUAGAAAUAUAUGUUAAUUUGUGUAGAGAUAUAUGUUAUUUUGUGUAGAAAUAUAUGUUAUCUGGUGUAGAAAUAUAUUUCUUAUUUGGUGUAAAAAUAUAUAUAUGUUAUAGAAAUAUAUUUGUUAUAGAGAUAUAAUUGUUAUUUGUUGUAUAAAUAUUAUAUAUAUAUAUAUAUAUUAGAAUAGAAUAUUGAGAUUUUGGUAGGCAAUCUAAUAUAUUUUUGUACUUAAUAUAAUAUAUUUUGGUACUCAAUUGAUAUAUUUAAUUACUAGAUCUAAUAGGUGCAUUACUUGUUUCCAAAGUUUCUCACUUAUUAGUUGUAAAUUAUCUCUAUAAAUAGAGAACUCACACAGUUCAUUCUACACACCGAAAUUCACAGUUGAUACUUCCUGUGCUUUUCUUCUCUUCUCCCUCUUUUGACUUGUGUUGACGAGUCUUUCUUCUUUUUCUACUCCUUUCUGUCCCUUCGGAAUUAAAAGUGUUCUUAAGACCAUAAUCCCUCUUCGGUUUAAUAUACUUUUAGAUAAGAGAAAGCGGUAGAGUCCUUCGUCGAUCAAUCCAAAGGUAAGGGUGAGACUAACUUUGCAAUUCUAUUAAGUAUGUGAAUCAAUGGUUAGGUUUAACAUGAUGUAGGAUGAGUUUUUGAGGAAUUGAAAAGUAGGUUAAAAUUGUAGAAUUAAUGAAUAAACGGUGGAAACUUGUUAAAAAGAUGUAGAAACUGUCCUUAGACCUUAGAUAAUGAUUAAGAUGAUUUGAUGAUAUUUAUAAUGUUAUAUAAUUAGAUAUAUAUUGCAUGAAUUAUGUUUAAUGAUUGAGAUGUUGAUGACGUGCAUUUGUAAUUGUUAUAUAUGAUGAUUAUCAUUAUUGAUUGAUGCUAUUUUGUUGUUGUGAUGAAUAUGAUUUACUUUGAUGAUAUGAUUAAUGAGAGAAUAUUAUAUACUGUGAAUUAAUGAUUAAAUGCAUUACUUGAAAUAUUAUUGAAUGAUCAAGAUGUUGAAAUGAAUUGUUAUUAAGCUUGAUAUGAAUUGAUUAUGCUGCAAUUGUUGUUAAACUAAGUUGCAUGAGUUGUUGUUGAUUAUCAUUUGAUAUUGUUAUAUCUUGAGAUGUUUACGUGUCGCCUAUGUUGCUGUUGUUGGUUAUGUGAAAUAUUUAUAUGACUUAUGUGGAAGAUGUAUGAUGUUUAAGUUGUUGAUACUUUAUAUUAAUAUUGUUAUGUUGUGAAUUGUUUGUACUGUUUCUGUUGCUAUUAUGAACUGCUAAGUUGUUUAUAAUGUGAUUUAAUGAUUAAAUGCAUUACUCGAAAUAUUAUUGAAUUAUAUUAGGAGCUUUGUCCUCCGCACGAUUAUUAGUAUGAAUAAGUUGAUGAUGAACUCCAAAUUAUUGGAUGUAUAAGUGAUAAGUUGAUUAAGGUGUCUUGUCGAUAGAGUCCAUGCAUUAGCAUUCAUUGAGCUUUGUCCUCACCACGAUUAGGAGCUUUGUCCUCCGCACGAUUAGGAGCUUUGUCCUCCGCACGAUUAAAGUAUAUUAAUACUUAUGAUGACGAUUGGUACCACAAGCAUAUAAGUGUCUAAGUUGCAUUGUCGCAUUUGUCGAGUCAAAGUCGUUGUUGAUGAAUUAUCAUCCAUGAGUUGUUAAGUUGUCGAUGAAUUAUCAUCUAUGAGUUGUCGAGUUGUUUUCUACCCAUGUGUUGUUAAAGAAGUACCUACGAAGAUUAUACGAUGUGAAUUAUAUGAUGUUGACUAAAAUAUUGCUAUGUUGUUUAACAUGUUGAUUAUGAUACUGUUAUGUUGCUACGUUGUUUAAGAUAUUGAUUAUGAUAUUGUUACGUUGCUAUGUUGUUUAAGAUAUUGAUUAUGAUAUUGUUAUGUUGUUAUGAUGUUGUAUAUGAUACUGAUUAUAAUGUUAUGAUGUUGUUUACGAUGUUGAUUAUAUGAUGUUAUUAUGAUGCUAUAUGUUGUGAUGUAUAUAAGUGUUAUUAUUAAGUGAUGAAUAUGUUGUUCUAUAUAUGAUUAAUAUUAUUAAGUGAAUAUUAUGUUAUGUUAUUGAUGAUGAUCGAAUGUUGUGAUUACUUGGUAAUUGUUUAUCAAAGAUGCUAUGAUUUUUAAGAUGAUAUUGUUUAAGAUGAUUAUGUUUAAGAUGAUUAUGUUUAAGAUGUUUAUGUUGAAGAUUUAUGAUGUUGAUUAUGGUGUUAGUAUGUGUUGAUUAUAUUUUGAUAAGAUGAUGAAUAUGUUGUUGUUGUUAUAUUAUUAUAUGAAGAUGAAUAUGUUGUUGUUAUAUUAUUAUAUUAUGACGAGAUGAUGUAUAUGUUGUUAUUAUAUAAUUAAGAUGAUUAAUAUGUGUUGUUCAUGUCGUUAUAAGAUGAUGAUUUAUGUUGUAUUGUAUAUGAUUAUUAUUAUUAAGCGAUGAUUAUGUUGUGUCAUAUAUGAUUAUUAUUAUAGUGAGAUGUUGAUUACAUUGUGUUGUUUUAAAGUUAUUAGUGAUGAUGAUAUCUAUGAGUUGUUAAGUGUACUUGAUGAUGUUUAUGUUAAAUUGAUAAGUUGUCUUUUAUUCAUGAAUUGAUAAUGAGAUGUUUGAUGAAUAAGUAUUAUUACGAAUUAAAGAUGUUGUUAUGUUGUAUAUGAACUAUGAUGUGAUGAUCUAUGUUGGUUAUGAUUUGGUUAUUAUGUGUUAUAUGAUGAUGUUUAUAAUGUGAUGAAUAUGAAGUAAAUGAUAAUUAGAAGUUGGUUGAACUAUUAAGAAUUAUUACAUGAAGAAUUAUUAUUACUAAUAGAUGAAGUUAUUUAUGUUGUUAAAUAUAAUUAUUGAAUUAUAUGCUUGAUAUUAUUGUUUUGUGAAAUCUCACCCCUUCUGCUUGAAAAUGUUGCUCUUCGUAUGAGUGGUGGUUCAAGUGUCUCUAGGUGCUCUGAUACGUAACGGGAUGGGAACUUUGUUAUUGCUUUCUAUUUCUUACGUAUUGUUUUUGAAGAAUUAUGACUAUGUUUUUAGAAUAGAUUUUUAUGACAUAAUUGUAAAGAGGCCUUAGUGCCAAAGACUGGUUUUAGUUAUUGAAUAAAUUCCGCUGCGAAGUAUUAAAGAUUUUGUUAUUGAAUUUUAAAGGAUAAAUAGUUAUUUAUUCAGUUUAUGAUUUUAUGAAAAGAAGUGUAGCAUUCCGUUUACGUGAAUAACUUUGAUUAUUAAAUGAAAUUUUUAUGUUGGGAAAACGGGGUGUUACACCAUCCACCACAACAACAUUUUGUUUAACUUUGCAACCGGUGAUGAUUCUUGAUCUAACAUUUUUGCCAACAUGGAAAUAACAAAGUAUUGCACCACUAUCGGGGAGAACAUUUGUUACGGCCUUCAUCAUACUCGGGUCCCUAUCGGUCACUACCACCUUAGGCAUAUCACUAUUUGGUUCAAGAAGUUUAAGCAACAUUUGCAAAGCCCAAGUAAAGUUAUCCUCCUUCUCCGACGUCAUAAAUGCAAAAUCAACUGAAUAUGUCAAAUAGGUCGAAGUGACUCAAACUAUUUCAAAUAAUGGCAUUCUAUACAAGUUGGUUUUGUACGUGGAAUCAAUUAUCAAAACAGUCGGAAAAGUGUUAAACAACUUUACCGAUGUUGGAUGAGUCCAAAAUAUGUCUUAAACGGUUUGACUUUCCUUUUUUUCUCUUACGUAAUAAUUAUAUCCAUUCUCUUCCAACUUUGAGAUUAGAUAUUGCAUCUCCGUCAAGUCACCCCUUUUUGCCUUUUUGAAUUUAUGACGUUCAUUGUAGACUUGCUUGAUAUUUGUCAUGGACUCUUUCCUUUUCUUCUUCAAAUUUGUCAAAAUAUUUUUUGGUUUCACCGAAGAAUCGGUCAAGUCAUGUACAAUCUUCUUGUCGUCCUCCGUUAAUCUUCCGGUAAGAAGGUGCCCUGCUACAUACCGCACCAUCUCAUGGUUGUGAACGCCAUUAAGAAUAGUCAAUUUCCAAGCAUUGUUUUCCCUCACGACAUAUCUACGCACCUUGAACAAACACCCACAUUUUCUUGAUCUCGUUGCUUCAUGCUUCACUUUUGUCUUCGAUAAUUUGUGCUCGCCGCUCCGUUCACAAACCAACUCCAACAUAACAUUUUUACCUUCACAAGAUCUUCUAAUGAUAACCGUAAAUCCAGCCCUAUUUGCUUGUCGACGGACCAAACCGAACAAUUCGUCUUUAUCUUUCCAUGUGUCUCGGGUCGAAAAUAAAUGAGCCGUGUCCACUUCGUUGUCACGAAGUUUCCACACAUCGAAAUUGACGCUUGAAGCGUCAACUUUAACGGAAGCUUCGACCUUAGCGGAAGCUUCAACCUUAAUUGAAUUGAUAACUCUAGAUUUUCGAUCACCCGGAUCAUCACCCGCAUUCUCAACCUUAUCUAUAAAUAAAAAACAUACAAUUACUAAACUAAUUAAUAAACAUGUAUCUAAUAUCAUAUAAUAACAUAAACAAACAAAAAAAAAAACAAAAUUGAUUUUUUUUUUGCAGUAGCACUGCAAUUUGACAAUUUUGAAAAAAUUUCUAAGUUACCCGCCGCAGUUAACAGCCGCUCACACCUAGCGGUGGUUAGCUGCCGCUCAAGCUCGUGACAGUACAAAAAAAAAACCAGAAAAAUCAAUCAAAUGUAAUGGAUUUUAACGUUGUAAUACAUGUUCUUUGAUGCAUAUUGUGUAUAGAAACGUCCUAGCAAUCAAUCAUCAAUGAUUUGGAAGCAAGAUUUUGACACAAAAAUUUUGAAAUGGGGAUUUUUUUGGGUAUGGUAUUGGUGAUGUAAGGUGAUGAAUAAAUAGGAGAGGCAGAGGUUUUCUGGUUUUGGGGAAAAAACCAACGGCAGUUAACGACCGCUUACUUCAGCGACAGUUAACUACCGGCGCAUCUACCUGCGGUAAUUAAGAACCGCUGGAGGCAUAAACGUAUUUUACUUAUGUCUUUAUGAACUUUUCUAUAUCAAAAAAAACAAUUUUCAAAAAAGGUGUCAUAACAUCUUCUCGUGAUUACACCAAAAAGGCACCAAAAGUACAUUAAACAAGUUUUUUUAAAUAGACCAAAAGAUAGCAUAACAUGCUCUUAAUUAAUUACGUAACAUUCUCAAAAGACAAUAUCUCAACAAGUCCUCAAAAAAAUAAAAAUACUCAAAUGGUUGGUGACUAUGUUGCAACUACAUAGUUAUUGCAGAUCAUGAUUUUUCUUCUCUUGGAAUUUGCAACAACUCUAAUUGGUGGCAUUUAGGACGCACAAAUUAUAAAUUUGUAUACUAUGCACAAGUUUUUUAUACACCAUUGGAUCAUAUAAGGAACACGUUAUUAUAAUAGUCUUUCAACACUUGAUCAAAUAACUUUAUGACUCUCUUUCUCUGUUAUCUCAAUCCCAGUUAUUCCAACUUCUUCAUCAUCCUAUUUUUAUCUUUUUCUUAUUAUCCAUUCAAAAAACUAAGCCAAAAACUAAAAACAGCGAAGAACAUGAUGAAGAUUGCCCUUGGGGCAUUGAAUAAAGGAAUGAAGAUAGAAAUUUUGUGUUGAAAAAUGAUAAAAAUUGGUCAAGUCAACUUGUAAAAAGUUUAUAAAUUGUUGUUUCCAAUGUAAAACUAUUAAUUUUGGUUAUCUUAACUAGUGCCUUGAGGAUAGGGCUGAAAAUGAGUCGAGUCGAACCGAACCUGUCUGAGCUCGGCUCGACUCAAUAAGAAUUGGUUCGGCUCGAGUUCGACAUGAACUAUUUUUUCAGCUCGUUUAAAGUUCACGAACAAUUCGGUUCGGCUCGUUAGGUUCAGUUCGUUUGCUCAACUCGUCCAAAAAAAUUUAUAAAAAAAGUUAAUUUAUAAAUCUUGAAUAUUUUAUAUAUAUUUUAAAAGUAAAUAUUGAAUUAAAAUAAAAGUUUCCACAAACAUGCAUAAAAUAGACAUAAAUUAUAUAAAGUUAAAGGUUGCAUAAAUACGAAGAAAAAUAUCUGAUACAAGUAAUAGAGACAAAAAAAUCCAACAAAAUUCAAGUAGCUGAGAACAAAAUUCAUAAUAUUCUUCUACUUCUAAACUCCAAUUGCUCUCCCCUUUAAGACAAAAUUGUAUUCAGCCACAUCUGCCAGAGCCUUCAACUUAAUCUUUACUCAUUUAGAAAGAAACAAACUUCAAACAUGAUGCGAACUCUAAAACAGCAACAAUUCUACGAGAAAGUGGAUCAACAUCCUAAAAAAAUGCUACAUAUCAAUAAACAACUUAAUAAAGGAAAAAUCGUUUAAUGCUAAAAACAUAACAAUAAAAGAUCCUGGACUAUGCUAAAAAUCCUUAUACAUUCCCGUAAAUGUCAUAUCAUAGUUGUGUUUAGACACAAAACCUUACAAAGAUUCCAUAAGAAAUUUUAUAAUAAAGAAAAAUUCCCUCCUUUUGAAUACCUAUUUAGGUGGUGACAACCAUCGAAGCCUUUUUUCCACAAGUUGAUUAUAUGGAUCAAAUAAUCCACAAUGUUUUGUUGUCAAUCAAGUCUGAUGUUUUUUUUUUUUUUUUUUUUUGAGAUAAAUCAAGUCUAAUGAUUUCCCAUUUAAAUAUAAAUCUUUUUUAAUGAUAAAGGUAACUAAUUCCUAUUGUAUAUAUACCCCAUAAAUCAAUUAAAUAAGUAGACUAAAUUUACCAGAAAUCUCAUGAUUUCAUUAUCACUACUUUAUGGAUUUGCUUUUGCUUGAAAGAAGACUUCAAAUAAUCAAUAUAGGAACAUUAAACAAUCAAAAAUCUUCAAACAAACCCACCUAAAUUAUACUCUAAAUCACUCGACAAUCAAUAUAGGAACACCACAAUAAGAGAGACAAACUAAGAAAAGUAAACAUGCACAAAAAAUUGAUCAAAAUUUAGAAUCAAAUACCUUAAGAGAAAUGGAGAGCACAAUUUUCUCUUUUGAUGGAACCCAUCGCUACUUCUCAAUUCUACAUUUAUCCACCCGUAGAAAGAGAAGAGGAUGCUUGGUAGUUAGGUAGGAAUGUGAAAGAUUAAAGGAUAUGAAAAGUUAAAGUUUUGUUUUUUAGAGAAAAAGUAAAGUUUGUAAUUUGCUAUGCUUCAUAAUCAUUCUUGCGGAACCCAAAAGUUUCUAACUUUUUAUUUAUUUAAUUAUUUUGAUAAAUAAUUUUUUUUUUAAAAACUAACUCAAAUUGAUUUAUAUAUAUAUAUAUAUAUAUAUAUAUAUAUAUAUAUAUAUAUAUAUAUAUAUAAUCGAGUCAUCUCAUGAACCUAACGAGUCGAAUUAUAUGUAGCUCAAGUUCAACUCAUUUAAUUAACGAACUUAAUUUUCAGCUAAAGUUCAGCUCGUUUGGUUCAUGAACCAAGUUCAACGGAUUAAUUAUCGAGUCGAAUGUCAAACUAUAAUCGAGUUUGUUCGGUUCAUUGUUAGUCCUACCUGAGGACACUUGUUAGCAAGACCCUUAUUUAUAUACUUGAAGAUAUUUUGCUUAUUUGUUUCCUACCUCUCCGGUCAUGGUCACGAUUAACUUGGGUAUAAAACUAACGAUCACCGAGUUGAUAUUCUCAUACAUAGUACUCCUUGAAUCAUAUUUAUAGAAAAUAAUUGACUUUUUAGAUUCAUUAAAGAGUUGAUGUAUAUGAUAUAUAUUUUAGACCGGAUACAUCAAUUAAGCAUCGAAAGAUCGUUGUCGAAACUGUGAUGUUCAAGUAACACUUCUCAACACAUAAGAUGUGAUAUCUAUAUUGAAUAACUUUUUGUUCCGAAAUUGUAUAAACUAGUCACGAAGAAAGAUGUGAGAUAGUGGAUACUCUGGUCAAUUUAUUAAAAUUAUAGGGUGUAUAUGUAAAAGGAGAUGUAAUCUUUGAUCCCCUAUCCCCCCAAAGAAGUAAGAAAUUGCACUAAAAAACUUUUGUACUUGAAGUCAAAGACCCUAAAAUAGUUGAGUUAAAUAUUUGGUUAAACCCUACUUCCUCGCUCUUCAGUGUAUCGUUGAAGUGAAAAAGAACAGCAAUGGCGACGGAAGAAGACCAACGCUUAACCGAAUGGCGCCUGCAUCGUGGCCCUUACCUUGGCGACAUCUCAGCUCUCUGCUUUCUUCAUCUUCCCAAUCACCCUCUUCCUCUUCUUCUAGCCGGUAUCCUUUUCUUCUACUUCAAAUUUCACUUCAAUAAUCUAUUAUCAUUCAUUUGAUUCAUUCUACUUCGUAAUUUUAGGUUUGGGUUCGGAAAUUCUGUUGUACGACUUAGAAUUUGGGAAGAUAAUGAAAUCGUUUUCGGUUUUCGAUGGAAUUCGUGUGCACGGGAUUGCUUCUAGUUCUGAAUUUGUGAUUGUAGUGUUUGGAGAGAAAAGAGUGAAAAUGUUUCGGUUUUCGUUCAAAAAUGACGAUUUUGGGAGUCCACAGUUAACAUUGAUCCAUUUGUUGCCCAAGUUUGGUCAUUGGGUUUUGGAUGUUUGCUUCCUCAAGGUGAAUAAUAAUAUUCACUCAUAUUUACAUUUCUGAAUGAGCUGUCAAAAUAACAAUAUAAUUUGGAUGAUUAACGCAAUUCAAAUACAUGUUUAGUUACAUUCGGUGGAUUAUUUUGUUUGCUUCCUCGUGGUUAAUGACGUUCAAAAUUACUAUUAAUUACAUUCGGUGAAUGAUUGAUUAGUUGCAACAUCUUGUUAUAACUUAUGUUCUUUAGCUAUCUACUGAAUGUAAUUAAGCACUUAUUUGAACUGCAUUAACCAUUUAAAUUGUUGUCAAAUUUGUGUAAAAAUAUCAUUUAUGUUCUGAAUAAUGAAUGCUUCUUUCGUUCUAACUUGUGUUUGUAAGUUUAUUUAUUGAUUUUUUUUGUUGCUUGCGACUUGCCACUUGGUAGUAGGGCUGUUUACCUUGUUCGAAUGUGGAGAGUGAUUUUCUUGCUAUAGGAUGUAGCGACAAUUCAGUUUGCAUAUGGGACAUUUCCAAUUCUAAUGUUGUUCUUAAGGUUCAAUCACCAGGUUGGUUUCAAUUUUACUGCAUGGCAUUGGUUUCAUUUUUUUCUUAAAAUAUUCUUUUAUAUCUUACGAGUAACUAUUUGUCAUUGGAGCACAGUACGAUGCCUUUUGUACUCAAUGCGGUUAUGGGGUCACAAUCUUGAAGUUCUCCGUAUUGCAUCCGGUACAAUAUUUAACGAGGUAAGGAAUCUGCUGAUACUUGACGUUUGUUCAUUGUUGAGCUUGAUAUUGCAUUGAAUUUGUUUUCAACAUUCUGCUUCAAGUCCGUCUCUGAUCAUCCCCAGAAUAGUUUUUGAUUUCCGCAGACUUUAAAAACCACACUUCAGAAAUACUAAAGCAGUUCAAGUUAAUCACAAUCAUCAUCUUCAUGGAAUACGGCAUAAUUAAUGUUGUACACAUAAUACGACACUACAUUGUUUUUUUUUUUCCUCUGUUUAAGUUCAUGCAUUAAGGAUCUAUUUUCUGCACUUCGUAUCUAUAUGCUUUACCAAAACUCUACCUUUAGUUUCUACGUAUAAUCAUUGUAUUUUAGCUAUUGUACUUUAUAUCAUCCUUGUAGAACUUUCUUUUGAUCUGUUGUUUAAUGUGUCCACCUUCCGAUUUUCGUUUAAUUACUUUAAAGAGUUUGGUUCGGGCAGAUUGUCGUUUGGAAAGUAUCCCCUCAACAUGAUAAAUCUUCAACAACUCCAGAAGACCAUGACCGUCACGGAUCUAAUUGCAGCUCACUAAAAGAUAAUAUGUAUGAGGCUGUUCACGUAUGUAAACUUGUGGGACAUGAAGGUUCAAUCUUCCGAAUAGCGUGGUCGUCCUGUGGAUCUAAACUUCUGUCUGUUUCUGAUGACCGUAGGUGAGUUAGAUUUUCAAAUCAUAUUGUAUCAACUAUCACAUAUUUAUAUUCAUCUAACAAUACAUGCCAUGAUAAUUUUUAUAAUGCAGCGCACGUGUAUGGGCUGUUCCUACUGAAAGGGAAGAUUCAUUGUACAACGAUCCCAUUGCCCUUGUCUUAUUUGGACAUAAUGCUCGAGUUUGGGACUGUUGUAUUUCUGAUCAUGUAAGCCAUUCAUUUCAUGCUUAUGAAAAACUUAAUCCUAAAAAAAGAGUUUCUGAUGUUAUUUUAACUCUUUUAAGUUUUUGUUCAUCAUAUCAUGUUGUGCUCUUUUACCACCCAACAAAAAUGGGUAAAUCAUUAUAUAGUAUACUUUAAUAGAUAUUUUUUAAGUUUGUUAGAAAUCUAUAUCGUUUUUUUAGUUAAAAGCCUCUCUAUCUAUAGACAGAUCUUAUCGCCAAGACCAGAUUUUUAAUGCUAAUUAUCUCCCUUAUUGGUGCUGCUUUCAUCAAGAUAAGUGGCUUAGCCACUUCUUUUUUGUUGGAUCACUUGUAUUUUGUAAUCUCUAACUUUAAUUAUCACCGAGACACUGCGUAAAUGUUGAAAUUUGCAGUAAUAUUUCUUAAGACAUCCAUGUGCUGCUAACUUAAAUCAUAGUAUCGUUCACGUGUUGAUAUUAUCAAUUAUUUUCUUUUCACCGGUAGUUUAUAGUCUUCACAGAUAAAAUAAACUUACAUAUUAAUGUAUUUUUAUUUAUCUCAUGACUUUUUCAUUACUAUAAAUAAUAAAUAUGUUUUGUAAUUGAUAAAUUCGUCCUUCAAAAUAUGGUAAAUUGUCUUCAAUUCAAUAUUACAAAUUUCUCAGUUUUAAAAUUAACCACAAUUUCAGUGGCUAAUAUAAAACUAGUUACGAAAACAUCGUUUGAAAUGUAUUUGACAACAUUAAAAUUGUACUUGUACCGUGUUCAAUUUUCUGCUUAAUUAUCAAUUUAUAUUGCUAAUUCAUGCAAUUGGAAUAUCCCUUUUCUAAUUAUUUUUUGCGCAGUUUAUUGUCACUGUCAGUGAGGAUUGUACAUGUCGUAUAUGGGGAAUUAAUGGUGAACAGCUGCAAGUCAUUAGAGAGCACAUGUAAGUUCUAGAUAUGGAUUAUUGAUUGUUCAGUAUUAAAUUUCUAUUUGUCGAUUAAUUGAAGUUCUGUGGAUCUGAUCGAAUAAACAUUGGCUAUAAUUUAUUGUCUGGACUUCUCAAGUUUUGAAAUCAUGCGAACUUAGUAUCUACAGGAAACAAUUGCUAUAAAUAUGUUAUCUUGAGUCUCCUGGACUUGUUAAUUGUAUUUUAUAUAAUCAACCUUAUGUUUACCCCCCUUAAAAGACCUGACUCAAAAAUAUAUCAUUUCUUAAUGUUAUUGGUUCUUUUGAUUCACUUUAAUUUUGCUGUAUGAGGUUUAAAUGACGAGGUAUCUUACAAAUAGAUGUUUGAAUUCUAUCCUUUCUGAAUGUUAAAGAUGAUUAAAAGAGUGAUUACUCGCAAGUUGAAUACAAUGAACUUCUCUAUUUGUUUUAUAUCUUCUAAUUAUUGUGUGGUACUGCAUUACAAGAGUCAUAAUGUGCGUGCUGCUCAAGUUGUUUUCUCUGUUAGGUUUUUGACAUAAAAUCUUAUUUUCAUGUCUUUUUAAUGAAAUGUGUAUUGGUUUCUAUGUACAGAGGUAGGGGUAUAUGGAGAUGUUUGUAUGACCCAAAUUUGUCACUUCUUAUAACUGCUGGGUUUGACUCUGCUAUCAAGGUGCAUAGGCCUCAUUCUUGUCUGUCCAGGGGUUUGGCAGCAGCACAAUUAUCCCCCGGAAGAACAGAGAUGUUUUCCAUUUGCAUCCCUAAUAUGUUGGAGCAUAUUGGAUUGACAGACAGGUAGGAUAAUUAAAUUUGAUUAGCUCACUUUGAAUGCCCUGUAACAUUACAAAAUUUUUAAUUGAUUUUGAGAUGCCAUUGUCUAAGUCAGUUGUGUUUGCCAUAUCCAUGUUGACUGGCCUUUUUGCCUCCUUAUUUGUUGCAGCAAGAGUGAAUACGUUCGUUGUUUGCGUUUUUCAUCUCAGGAUUCUCUUUUUGUUGCUACCAAUCACGGUUAUCUCUACCAUGCUAAAUUAUGUGAGGCUGGAGGUGCUUGUUGGAAUCAGCUUGUCCAGGUCAGCAACGGGGCACAGAUUAUCUGCAUGGAUUUAUUGUCCAAGGACUCCUUUGAACAAGGAUGUGGUGAUGAGGAUUGGAUUGCCAUUGGAGAUGGUAAAGGAAAUAUGACAGUUGUUGUAGUUACUAACAAUGAUUGUGCUCCUACAGUUAGGUUGAGCUUUACUUGGCAAGCUGAAAUGGAGAGGCAGCUAUUGGGUACUUAUUGGUGCAAAUCUUUGGGAUCUAGGUAAUGAAUUGCCUUAUUUUAUCUUUCGAUAAUAGCAUCUACUUAUUCACAGGAUGCUUUGAGCUUAAGCCACUCACAGAUAAGUUGUGCAAGUUGAUGCUGUGUCAACCUAUUUUUUACCCACUGCCUGAUAACUGUCCUGUCCUCUCUAUCAAAAUGUCUAUAAUUCAUGAAAGAUCUCCGUUGUUAUCCACACCAUUAUGAGACUCCUGGGGGAAAAAAUAGACCUAUUGUUAGUGUAGUUCAAGUGGUUAACUAGCCAUCAAGAUUAUACCAAGUUAAGCAUAAUCAUACAACAGUUUGUUAGUGAUAUAUUAUGCGGCGCAAUCAAAUGGGAGAUCCUAGUGUUUUCUUCUCUUUUAUACCAAGUUAAGCAUAAUCAUACAACAGUUUGUUAGUGAUAUAUUAUGCGGCGCAAUCAAAUGGGAGAUCCUAGUGUUUUCUUCCCAUUCAAUUUAUUAUAUUAGUCUCCUAUUUAUUAUUGAUGUAAUACUAAUAGUAAUAAUAAUAAUAAUGAUAAUGAUAAUGAUAAUUCUUUUGCUUCUGUUAGAAUAUAAUUAUAAUAUCUUGAUAUCAACCCCAUUCUCUAAGAGUGUGUUUGGAUGAGGUAAUUGAAAAUUUUAGAGAGUUUAGAAUUCUAGGCAAUUGAAAUUAUUCAAUUAAUUUGCCUUCAUUUCUAAAUCUUUUUGUUUGGAUAGAGUAAUAAAAAAAUUCAUUGUUAAAAUUUUUGGGCUACUUAUAUAAAUGUGACAAAAUUUGGGUCAAAUUUGAAAAUUGAAAAAUAGGCUUAGUGUUUAGCAUAGUAUCUUAGACUAUCUCUUAAAACUAGUUUCCAUAUUUCUUUAUUAUUAUCAUUAUUUGUUUCCCUAUUUAAAUAGGAUUUGCAGUCUUGUAUUAUUAUUCUUAAGACUGAAAAUAUGUUUUUUCAUAUCAAAUUAUGUAGGGAGAAUGUACAUUUAUAUGGGUAGGAGUCUCCUAGUUAAUCCCUAAUUAAUAAGGAAGAUUAAUCAAUACAAUCAAUACAAUAAAUAGUGAAGUUAAAACUAAAUAGUCACAACUUUUCAAUAUCUCAACACUCCCCCUCAAGGUGGUGCGUAUACAUCAUAUGCAUCCAUCUUGUCACAUAUGUAAGUUAUCUGAGGACUCCGUAGAGAUUUAGUAAAGAUAUCAACAAGUUGAUCCUUGGCAUUGACAGACGAGGUUCUGAUGAUUCCGGUGAUAAUCUUCUCUCUAAGAAAGUGACAGUCAACUUCAAUAUGCUUUGUCCUCUCGUGAAAAACUGGAUUGGAGGAGAGGUGUAAAGCUGAUUGAUUAUCACAUACAAGUUCCAUUUGACCAACCUCACAAAAAUGUAAUUCCUACAAUAAAUGUUUCAACCACACAAGCUCACAUGUAGUAUGAGCCAUAGCUCGAUACUCGGCUUCUGUACUCGACCGGGCGACAACAGUUUGCCUUUUGCUCUUCCAUGAAAUCCGAUUUCCGCCCACAAAAAUGCAAUAACUAGAAGUAGACCGUCUAUCACUUGCAUCUCCUGCCCAAUCGGCAUUUGAAUACCCCACGAUAUUUGCGUGGCCUCUAUCAAUGAAAACAAGUCCUUUUCCGGGUGCUCUUUUUGAUAUACUUAAGAAUUCGAACAACUGCAUUCCAAUGAUUGACACAAGGAGAGUUAAGAAACUGACUUACGACGCUAACCGGAAAAGAUAUGUCCGAUCUGGUCAAGGUGAGAUAAUUCAAUUUUCCCACUAGUCUUCGGUAUCUGCCUGGAUCAUAAUAGGGCUCCCCCUGGUUAGGAAGAAGCUUCACAUUAGGAUCCAUAAGAGUAUCAACUAGUUUACAAUCUAUAAGACCUGUUUCCUCCAAAAUAUCAAGGGCAUACUUCCUCUGAGUGAUAGCAAUUUCAGAGUUUGAUUGAGCCACUUCAAUCCCGAGAAAGUAACGAAGAGGACCUAAGUCCUUAGUCUGAAAGUUUUGAAAUAGAUGUUGUUUUAAUGCCUUGAUAACUUCAUAAUCAUCACCGGUCAUUACAAUGUCAUCAACAUAAACCACAAGGUAGAUAUAUUUAUUUGAUGUUGAGCAUUUAAGAAAAACAGAAUGAUCUGAUUCGCAACGGGUCAUCCCAAACUGUUGUAGAAGUUUGUUGAAUCGACCAAACCAUGCUCGAGGCGUUAAUCCAUACAAGGACUUUUUCAAUUUGCAUACCAAACUUUUCCCCCCUUGAGCAACAAACCCAGGAGGUUGCUCCAUAUAAAUCUCUUCUUCCAAGUCACCAUGCAAGAAAGCAUUCUUGAUAUCCAACUGAAACAAGGCCAACGUCUCAUGGCAUUCUUGAUAUCCAACUGAAACAGGGCCAACGUCUCAUGGCAGCCAUAGACUUGAGUAUAACCUUUUGCUACUAACCGAGCCUUUAAUCGAUCAUCGAUCAACCUGUCCAUCAAGUCCCACUUUGACAUUAAACACCCACCUGCAACCAACAAUAGAUUUUCCAAGAGGCGGUGGAACAAGCUCCCAAGUUUGGUUUUAUUCUAACGCAAUCAUCUCAUCAAUCAUGGCCUGUUUCUACGCUGGAUGAGAUAAUGCUUCAUGAAGUGUCUUAGGAAUUGAGCCAGUUGAAAGAGCAGAAACAAAAGCCAAGUAGGAAGGAGACAAUCGGUGGUAGCUCAAAAAAUUAUAAAUAGGAUGAGGAUUAGCGGUAGACCUUUUAUCUUUACGAAGAGCAAUAGGUAAGUCAAUAGGAUGCUCAAGUGGAACCGCAGCAGGAGAAGAGACUGGAACAAUACCUGAAUCACUAGAAUUAGUAGCAGGGGUCUUAGGAGUUGAAUCAUUGGAAUCAAUAGGAGCUGUUUCUUGAGCUUCAACAUGUCGACGCUCAUAAGUAAUACCAUACCGACGAAACUCUGGGUUACCUUGUGACUGUGGAGGAUUUUGAGUAGAGACAAAUGGCUCAAAUAGAGGAAUGGGCAUCACCUGGGAAGUAGUAACAUCAGUUGUAGAAGUUGCAGAACCAGAUGUAGUGGGUGAAGCAAAGAAUGGUCUAUCCUCAAAGAAAGUAACAUUUGCUGAAACAUAAAAACGAUGUGCAGAUGGAGAAUAACAACGAUACCCCUUUUGGGUUUUAGAAUAUCCCAUAAACACACAUUUGACAGCUCGAGCAGACAAUUUAUCACGACCAGGAGAGAGAUCAUGUGCAAAACACGUAGAUCCAAACACACGAAGAGGGACAUCGUAAAGAGGAUCCUUAGGAAACAAAAAAGUGAGUAUGGAAUUUCAUUACCCAAUACCGAUGAUGGCAUGCGGCUUAUCAAAUAACAGGUAGUGAGAAUGGCAUCACCCCAAAAUCUGAAAGGUGCAUGGGCAUUGAUCAAUAAAGUUCGAGCUGUGUCAACCAAAUGACGAUGUUUUCUUUCAGUGACACCAUUUUGUUGCAGUGUGUGAGGACAGCUGGACUGAUGUAUAAUACCAUGAGAAGCCAUAAAGGAGUUGAAUGAUGUAGAAAAAUAUUUGGCAUUCUCACUCCGUAAAAUUCGAAUUGUUUUACCAGAUUGGGUCUUUAUCUCUGAACAAAACGUUUGAAAGGCACCAAAUAAUUAUGAACGAUCCUUCAAUAAGGUGAUCCAGGUGCAUCUAGAGAAAUCAUCAAUGAAAGUGACAUAAUAUUUGUAUCCCAAAGUAGACGACAGGCGACUUGUAACACCUCGUUAUCCCAAACAAUUAAAUAAUAAAUAUGACAUCCGAGUUUAACACCAAAACGGUCAUGUCACACUACUUUUCAAAAUUUCUUAAAUAGAAUAUAAAAUUAUUUAAUUUAACAUUAAUAAACUGCAGCGGAAUGGUUUUCAUUAAAUAACAACAUCAACAUCAAUGUUUAAUACUCCACUAAAUAAUCCUGGUAUAGAAACCUCAUCAAAAUAAUUCAACAAUCAAAUAAAGGGCUACAUCAGCAUGUUCCAAAAAUUUGAUACCAUAAGGAAUGAAAAUAAAUAAGUAAUCUCAUCCCGUACGUAUCAGAGCCCUAGACACUUGAGCCACCAUCUACUACUCAGGAUUACCUGCAAGUUACCCAUAGGAAGGGCAACAUUUCCAAGCAGAAGGAGUGAGAUUCACAACAAUAAUAAUAGAUAUAGAAUUCCUCAAUUGAAUCUAAUACCCUAACAUAAUAAUAAUUAUUCAAUAUAAAUAUAUAUUUCAUAAUCAACAACAUCAACAAUAAUGGUAAUUACAACCAACAACAACGACUCAUGCAACUACUCGACAACACCGCUAAGACUCCUCGACAAUGCACAUGCAUGUGGGACCAAUUUACAGGGCAGAAGCCCUCACCGAAUUUUGAAUGGUUAAAGCAUUCAUCAGGGCAUAAACCCUCACCAAUUUGAACAAUAAAGUGUUCCAGGACAUGAGACCUCCCGCUUUGAACGACAAGGCGUUCCAGGGCAUGAGCCCUCCCGCUUUAUAUGUUAUGCAAUGGACUCCACUUGUGUAUAUCUACAUACAACUUAACAAUGCAUAUAUAUAUAUGACUUACAACUCCACAAUUCAACAACAUGUAUGAUUUAAUUAAUGUAAACAUACAUCACAGUCAUCAACAGAUCAUCAUAAUCAAUCCAACAAUUCAAGAAAAUACACAAUCAAUCAUAAUCAUGCUCAGACAUCAAGAUCAUUCAAUUAAAUAACAAUCAGCUUCAGAACUGGGCAACUCGCCUCGCGAGCUCAUCUGCUCGCUAUGGCGAACUCAGGAAAUGGGUUACUCGCCGUGGCGAGUACGAGGCGAACGAGAAAAAUGGUUCUCUCGGGAGUUUUGACAUUUUUCUCACUAAAUCUUCAUUUUUAAGUUCCCUAUUCAUCCUUUUAAUUUAAAAAUUGUCCCAAUCCUCUCUAAAAUCAUCUAGGCACUCAAAACUAACCAAUAUACACCUUAUAACAACAAUCUGAAAAUCAAGGUUCUCACUCACUAACUCGCCAUGGCGAGUGGUUCUGCUCGCGAGGCGGGCUAUGAAGAUUGCUCACUCGCGAGACGAGACAAGCUACUCGUCGAGGCGAGCGAUGAAUAUCAGUACGGGCAGAAUGCAGGUUUUUCCCAAAAAUCCCGAUUUCCUCAAUUUCACUCCCCAAAUCAGUUUACAGAUAUGAAACUAAAUGUUGUAUGCAACCAGAACCUAUUUCUAACAUCAAAACAGUAAUUCCUACACUCAAUUCACCCAAAAACCAAGAAUUCAACUUAAACCCCAAAAUUCCCAAUUUCUACCAUAAACCUGUUAAACCAAAAUCAGAAUUAAACAUCUAUACUACUGAAGCAAACCUCACCCUUACCUUAAUUCAGAUGAACAAAAGCACAAAAAUCUGGUUCACUUGGCUCUGCUUGGCUCUUCUCCCUUUUUCUCCCAAAAGCUCUGUUUGCACGUAAAAGCAGUUCUGACUAUUUCUUUUCCUAACUCCCAAUACAUAACUCCCCUUUAUUUCAUUUAACUCCCCCUUAAUUCUAUUAAUUUCUAAUUAAAUCCCCAACCUCCAAAAUAAUAAUAAUUCCCACUUAUUCUAAUUAAUAUUAAAAUAAACCAUAUAAUAAAAUAUAACACACCACAUAUCAACAGUAAUUAUUUAAAAUCAUAUAAAAGACUCUAAAUAAAUCAUAAAUAAAUAAAUAACGACUAGGGCGUUACACGACUAGGACCCCAAACAUCAGAAUGGAUGAUAUCAAAGGGAGACAUUGAUCUUUUAUUGACACGACUUGGAAAAGAUACUCUGACAUGUUUGCCAAGCUGACAUGAUUCACAAUCCAAUGACUUUAAAUGUGAAAGGUGAGGAAUUAAUACCUUUAACUUAUCCAAACUUGGAUGACCCAAACUACGAUGAAUGAUAUCUGGAGAUGCAGAAACACCACAAAUGGUGGAUGGAUGAGAAUGGAGAUAAUAGAGACCCUGUGAUUCAAAUCCUGUUCCAAUUGUCUUUCCCGUACUUCGGUCUUGUAUAAGAGUCGGAAGAAAAUGUUAUAGAACAAUUGAGAGAUUGAGCAAGUUUACUGAGAUCAAAUUAAAAGGACUUCUAGGUAUGAAUAACACCUAAUUCAAUGAUAGAGAUGGCAGAGGAGAAGCUUGACCAAUACCAGUAACUUGUGCCUUAGAACCAUUAGCAACAGUAAUGUUGUGAGGUAUCUUUGGAGGUGACAAAUUAGAGAUAAGAGAGGGAUCACCAACAACAUGAUCAGAAGCACCAGAAUCUAAAACCCAUGAUCCAGUAGAGUGAGAUAAGCACACUGUAGAAUUGAUGAAAUGAGCCAAUGUGGCUAAAGAGGAAACUGGUUGGAUCGCCAUUAAACAACACGAAACAAAAACCAGGACGGUUCCUUUUGGACACCAAACGACUGAAUUGAGAAAAAAAUGAUGCUAAUAAAAAUAUAGGGAUAGCCUUGACAGUGACUGAACCCAAAGACAAAACUAGGAUUUCAGAACCAUGCUCUGGAUACCAUCUUAAGACUGAAAAUAUGUUUUUUCAUAUCAAAUUAUGUGGGGAGAAUGUACAUUUAUAUGGGUAGGAGUCUCCUAGUUAAUCCCUAAUUAAUAAGGAAGAUUAAUCAAUACAAUCAAUACAAUAAAUAGUGAAGUUAAAACUAAAUAGUCACAACUUUUGAAUAUCUCAACAAUUAUAAAUAAUUGUUAUAGUUUAGUGUAUCAUCAAUCAUAUCAAACCUUAAUCAAGUUAUUCAUCUUUUUCUACACACUUUAUAUAAACACUAUAACUUCAAUAACUUUGUUUCAAACUAAUUAAGUGAAUGUAUUUUUGCCAUUCUUUGGUGACACAACCAUGUAGGUAUGUCUUUACAACUGACCCCAGAGGAGGAUUGAAACUCUGGAGGUUGCCUGACCCUUCACAAUCUAAUAGUCAGAACUCCAUGAGGGAUAUUGUGUCACAUGCAGCAGAAUUCAUAUCAAGUUAUGGAAUGCGGAUAAUGUGUUUGGAUGCAUGCUUGGAGGAAGAGGUAUUCAUCUUCUCCGUUUUUAUUUUUUUAUCUUGUUGGGGGUGAGUUAUGUUCGGUAUUGCUUUGAUGGAACCUGACUUUGUAAACAAUUAAAAUACCAUUUUAUCAAAAACUUCUUUUAUGUAAAGGUCGGCCCUGACAUUGUUCAACAACUAAUUGUGAGGAACAGCGUUAUUGCUCUAAACUGUUUUUAAUUUUGGCCUUUUAAUUUUAACUGACUUAUAAUUUAAAAAGAGAAUCUCAUUUGGAAUCUGGAUAUGUUUUUGCAGGUCCUAGCAUGUGGAGAUCUACGUGGAAAUAUGGUUUUGUUUCCUUUGCUAAAGAAUCUGGUGCUAGGCACAUCUGUUGCACAAGAGAUGAAAAUACCGCCAGUAAAUCAUUUUAAAGGUGUUCACGGGAUUUCAAGUGUCUCCAGCGUUGUUGUAACUAAGCUUGGUUAUAAUCAAAUUGAGAUACGCUCAGUAUGUUUAACUAUUCAUCCUUCAAUUUGAGAUAAGAUUGGAUACAAUCAAAUUCAAAUUCAGAUAUAAGCAUUUUGCAAAUAAUAACAUCAAGAGCACAGUUAAAUAUCAAUCCAUCAAUUAAAGUUAUGAAUAUGCUCCACUCUAACUCCAAUUGUUGACUUUUAUUCAUGUUCAGACUGGAGCAGAUGGUUGUAUAUGCUAUCUGGAAUAUGAUGGGGAAAUGCAGCAUUUGCAAUUUACGGGAAUGAAACAAGUGAAAGAGUUGUCUUCGAUUGAGCAUGUUUCUGUUGAUAACAACUCGGAAGAUACAUCAUCAAGAAGCUAUGCAGCAGGUUUUGCGUCUGUAGAUUUCAUCGUAUGGAAUUUAGUCAAUGAGAAUAAGGUACUUUGACUAUUUUUUUCUCUUUACUCUGCUUAGUUAAUAUUCAUCUGUUGCUGCGUACAUCACCAGAUAUUAUAGCUACGUAUCAUGUGCAUAUGGUAUUACCAGGUGGUGAAAAUUCCAUGUGGUGGCUGGCGGCGUCCUCAUUCCUAUUUUCUAGGUGAUGUACCAGAGAUGAAGAACUGUUUUGCUUUUGUUAAGGUUUGCUUUUUGUUUUGAACACUUAAUUGACAAAAAUUAAGCAAUAUAUAUUUCUGUAAGCUUUACCUAUCUUAAAUCAUAUGACACCUGCUCAUACUGAAAAAGUUACACUCUUCCAAAAAUUCUUUAGAGGGACGACUAUAAUUCACUAUAUUUGAGGUCAUUAUAUGCAUUUGGUUUUGUCUUGAAUAGGAAUUCCAUACAAUUGCUUUAAGGCCUCACUUUUUGAUUGGUUAAACCUAAUAAUGGGGAUAGACCGGAUAAAGUUAAAUAAAAGGAUUUGGCUCCUCUAUAGUGGGGUGUACUUUAGAGAGUAAAGUGCAAUUAUAAGUUGAUAACCGUCGAUUUAAAAACCGGUUGAGAUUGUAGUAAAAUACAUGCAGAGAUAACAAAUUAUGAAUUUUCAAUAAUUGGUUAUAAUUUCAGAUUUAUGACGUGUUUAGUUUCACAUUUAAAAUCAUAGGCGUGCGUUUAGAGCUGUUUUUUCCGUGAAUUUAAAGAAGCUAGAAAUCCUAGCUUUUGGUGGACGCACGUCUAAAUCUGUUUCUGCCAUGGAAACAGAUACUUAAUCCUUUGUAGUGCAUCCUUCACUUUAGAGCAACCAAAUCCUAAAUAAAAGUUAUUUAAACAUGAUUGCCUUCUUGAUAUGUGCAGUUUUCAGCUUUCAAAAUUUUCCAUCCAUACAUAUGCAUGGGGAUCUGAAACAAACAAUUUUCCGUAUACUUAUUGUUAAUCUCCCUUUAUUUUAUUGCUUCAGUAACAUGGGUGUUGUGAAAAGUUUGAAAAAGUGUUAAAAUUAUUGCUACACUUUUAGCGUUAAAUUUCAACUCUAAUUUUAGCAGUGGUUACUUUUUAAGCUUUGCCAAUACCGACCUUUUUAUUAGACACCAGUCCUAUUUUCUUGUGGGUUGUUGUUCUUUUGUUAUUACAAAUUUAUUCUUCGGAAUAUCCCUCUGACAAAUCAUUCCAACUUUUACAGGAUGAAAUAAUAUAUAUACAUAGACACUGGAUUAAUGAUAACGUUGGGAAGAUAUACCCUCUAAGUUUGCAUAUGCAAUUCCAUGGGAGAGAGAUACAUUCCUUGUGCUUUAUACACGAAGAUAUGCUUCUAGGAGAUUAUUGUAAACGUGCAUCAUUUUCUAAAUCAAGUUGGAUUGCAACUGGAUGUGAAGACGGGACUGUGAGAUUGACUUGGUAAAACCAUUAUUCUCUGCUGCGUGUAGAUUUCAUUUGAGUACCUCAUAAACUCCUAAUCUGCGUCUGUUUGUUUGAUUUAGGUACUCUCCAGGUAUUGAGAAUUGGUCCAUGUCAAAAUUGCUUGGUGAGCAUGUUGGAGGAUCAGCUGUAAGGUCAAUUUGUUGUGUUUCGAAACUACACAUCAUUCCAUCAGCUACAACCGAAGUACCUGAUGGGAGGAGCGAACAUAAUGCUGCUGAUGAGGACAAAGAUAAUCCAAUUUUACUGAUAUCAGUGGGUGCAAAGCGUGUCUUAACUUCUUGGCUACUUAAAAGCAGGAAACUGGAUGACAAAACUAACUUCCGAACUGAUAAUCAGCAUGAUGCAAAGGAACUUGAUGAUCAAUUUUUGUCCAGCAUGUCUUCUUCAAUGACGUUCCAGUGGCUUUCCACUGACAUGCCAACCAAAUAUUCAAGUACACACAGAUAUACAGAAAAUAAUGUGGGGAAAGCAGUUGAUGUUGCUGAAAGUGGUUCUAAAAUAAAAAUUGAUGCUGAGGCUGGAUCACUGAUUUCUGAAGGGGGGACAAUGAACUUGGUCAGAGAUAAACAUGAGGAUGACUGGAGAUAUCUUGCGGUCACUGCUUUUCUUGUUAAAUGUGCUGGUUCCAGGUUAGAGGAGAUGCCUAACAUUUGCGUCUUGGUUCCGUAUAACUCAAAUAAUUUGAAACUAAAGUUCUAUUUUGUAUAAUUUUCAGGAUAUCUGUCUGCUUUGUUGUCGUUGCUUGUUCAGAUGCUACAGUUAUGUUACGGGCUUUAAUUUUACCCUUUCGCUUAUGGUAUUAACAAUUAUUUCCAUCAAAUUCUAUGAACUUUUUCUCUGCUUUCUUUUAUUUCUUGUUACAUCUUACAUAGCUCUUUCCCUUUUACUUGAUGACAGGUUUGACGUUGCAUUACUUGUUCCUUUAUUGGCACCUGUUUUGUCAUUGCAGCAUAUCAUCUUUCCCUUACGUAUGCCUUAUAAAGGUUUGUCUUGCACUCCAUUUAAGUGAUUGGUUAUGAGAGCUGUGAACCACUUAAUCCCUUCUUUUGAUAUGGAUGUAGAAGUUCUGUUGUAAAUUGUAAUGCUACUAGAAUUUUUGAAGCUCGUCUCUUCAAAAUUUAAGGCGGUACUUACCUGUUACCGAAUAUCACAAUUAAUGGUGAAAAGACUCAAAUGUAUGAUGUACUCAUCAUGAAAGCCUAAAUUGAAAGAUGAAAUUGUCUCAAUAUUUUGGUUUACUUAUGAUCGUGGGCUUUUUUAAUAGUCCAAGGAUCGUAUUAUAAAAUAGUGUGAUAGGUAGCCUCUUUACUGCCUGUCUCCACCUUGUUCCUCAGUAUAUGAAACGAAAGAUAUUAUUUGUUAAGAUGAAUGUCCUGUUCCUUUGUCAUACCUUUUAAAAUAUAUGCUAGAAUAAAUUUAGAGGUUCUUUGUAUAUUUUCUGCCUGAUCUAUUUCCCUGCUUCAAUAUGUCUGAACUUUCUUUUGCAGAUAACGUCAAAGUUGGAAAUGUUUACAUUGUGAUUGGCGGAUCUACUGAUGGGAGUGUUACAUUUUGGGACCUGACUGACAGUGUGGAAGCUUUUAUGCAGAGCGUUUCAGUUUGUGAUGUAGAGAAGCUUUUUGAUUGUCAAAAACGACCACGCACAGGGAGAGGAAGUCAGGGUGGUAGACGGUGGAGGAGAUCUUUAAGCAGUGGGUUAUCAAAGGAAAGACAAGGCAACAAUCAGGUGACUUCAAAAGCCAAAAACAAGGCCAAAAGCAUCAAUUCUACUACACAUGGGACCUCUUCAGUGCCAAAUAAAUCUGAAGACAACAAUAUGGUUUGUUCUCAAACCAGACAUACAGCUUCCCCCGUGUUGGAAACUAAGGCUGAUGAUUCCUCAGCGGAAAUAUGUGAAAUACAACCUCUGCACCUUUUGAAAAAUGUUCACCAAUCUGGUGUCAACUGUCUCCAUGUUUCAGAGAUAAAAGCCGGGCAAACUAAUGAUAGUUCCUGCGUGUACAACAUAAUUAGUGGGGGAGAUGAUCAGUCAAUUCAUCAUCUCGUGGUUGAGUUAUCAACUAAAACAAUAAAUCUUGAUUAUGGGGUUUUAACCCCAGAUGUAGCACAUUUGGUCACUGAACCUGAAUACUUGAAGGACAUCAAUUUUCAAAAUCAGAGCAGAAACUACGAGAUCAGAUUCUUAAAUUCUGAAAAAUUUCCUUCGGCCCACAGCUCUUCUGUGAAAGGUAAUUCUGUGAAAUUAAACUUCCCUAUCUACCUACUUUUUGUGUGUCUAUAAUGAACAGUCGGCAAGGCAUGUCAGGCUUUCUUUGUCUGACACAAUGCUUUGUUGGCUUUCCCACUAAUUUUUUUUCAUUUACUUCAUCUAGCAUUUUGUCCCACUGAGAAUCUUAACCCUAUUAUUCCCGAUAGGAUUUUUCCUUGUUAUGAUAAAAUGAUAAAGUAUUCAUAAUACUUGUGAACCAUAUCCAUUUGAACCACUUUAUCAAAUUGAAGCUAGUGUAUGGAUGUCUGAACUUGCAUAUUUAUGAAAGAAAGUUUGGUCAGUUUUGUAUGACUAUCAACUUUUAUUUUAUAAAGGUGUCUGGACGGAUGGAUCUUGGGUGUUUUCGACUGGACUUGAUCAGCGGGUCAGAUGCUGGCAUCUUCACCAGAGUAAACUAAUAGAACGUGCACACCUAAUAGUUAGUGUGCCGGAGCCUGAAGCGUUAUCUGCUAGGGCAUGUAGCAGGUGAUUAUUAUAGAAGUGAAUGACUGGGUUGGGUGAUAUAUCAUAUUGUUCUUUCUCUUAACACUUGCUGGUCCCUUACGCAGGAACCAUUAUCAGAUUGCUGUUGCUGGAAGAGGGAUGCAAAUAGUGGACUUCUCAGGAUGCCAGCACGAUGAAUGAUGCGAGGAUAAUUGAUUGUUGUUAUCUUAUUUUAUUUUUAAAUCAGAAUAAUUUAUGGAGGUGCAAUUUGUUCAACCUCGUUCAGAUGUAUCCAUUUCUAAUCCUGCUGAUAUUUUCUAGUAUAUUGGCAAAAUGGUCUGUGGUUUAUCCAUGCCUCUGAAAAUUGUUGGGAAUCUGCAAUGUGCAAUUUUGAUUUAUAUUUAACUGUAACGUACUAUAAAUUAUUUUAAAUCCAAGGAGAAUGUGUCGCAUUGAUGUUUCUCACUGUUUCCUUUCGAGCAAAUUUAUUUCCUGUAUGGAAAGAAGAUAUCGUGCUUAUCACUCUUAUUUGAUAUAUGCCACUAUAUGCUUUUCUCACUGUGUUUCCUUGACAUUUGUUAGUUAAUGUAUCAUGUUUAUUAAUUUAAUAUGAUUGAAUAUUACUAGAGUAUUAAUUCACCAAUUUUGUCUUUGAAUGUAAAUAUACGUGUUUUAAUAUGUGACGGAUGUAUGUAUUAUUAUUAAUAGAUAGAUAUGAGCUGCAAAUAUUUUUUAAAAUUCCCAUUUCUCUUGCAAAAUGAUUAAAAAAUAAAUGGCGGCAAGCUGUGCUUGGCUGGCUGGUCAUGUGCUAACAACUUGUCUUCUACUACUAUUAAGCUAUACCAAAAAGAUAAGCACGUUUUUGCAUUUAUGCUGUUUAGAUCCAGAAUAGUAAGCAUAUCUCUUGUUUCAGAUUCAGCCUUAUGCAUUGAAAAGUUGCAACUGCCUCAUAAUCAGCUUAUACGAGUGAGGCAAGGAUCUUAAAUUAACUAAUUUACAGCUGUUUACGGUUCAUGAUUGAUGCCGCGGAUGCACAAUGAGGAUGGGACUAAAUCUCCACACAAGUUCACAUUCGUAGGUUAAUUGCUUUUAUGUUUUCAACAGAUUUAAUUUCAAGGGUGUACAUGUGGUGGUUACCGGUGAGGGCGGGACCCAAUAUAUUUUGAAGCGUAAAAGGAAAUUUGAGUUUUUUGAAGCGUAAAAUUGAGGUUAUGCUUUUCUAAAAUCUAAUACCGAAAUGAAGGUAUUAUAGUUUUGGCUCUCUAAAUAAAUAUUUAUGAAUUUAGUUCGGUUGAUAUAAACAUUUAUAUUUAUGGUUUUUCAGACAGAUUUAUCAAUGCUACAUAUAGGCAUUGUCUAAUAAGUUGUAUGACAAUGUUUUUUUUUAAAUAAAACUAAAAAACUUAUGUUAUGGUUUUUCAGAUAGAGAUUUAUCAAUGCUAAUAGUGAUAUGUGUAUAUAAUCUGACUAAGAAAAACCCGUGGAAACGUAAAAUAUAUAAUUACUGAUUGGUGAAUGAGAGAAAUGUAAGAACUAAGAAUUACGGUGCAUGAAAAAAUAGAAUUGUUAUAUUAUUUUUGUCAAUUUUACUGUGCAUGUCACAUUUAAAAAUGAGAACAAACAAAUACAACACAACCCAUUGCAAUGCACACAGUGCUCUUUCUCUUUACUUGAUUUGAUUUUAUUCUUUUCUUUUGGGUAAGGACCACAACUGCACAUGAUCUCAUUACGUUCAAUUACAGGAAAGAAUAUCAUAUCAUGUUACACUUAAAAUCAUAACGGCCUCUGAAAUGCUCGAAGAGCAAAUUAAAAUCAUAUCUCUAAACAAACUUUGUUUAAAUACAACUUUAUUUUGAAUUAUAUUAAAAUACAACUUAGUUUUAUAUUUUCAAUAUUUAGGGUCCUCUAAUAUGGACCAAGUAAAAAGGACCACUAGUGAAUCCUUGAAAUGACAUAUUAUAGCAAAUUAAUUUUUUUUGUUUAUUGUGAAAUUAACAUAAAUGCAAAUGGGAGGGGUUAAAAUUUACAAAGUAUAUUUUGUGGCUUUACUCAAACUACGUUUUCAAAUUGUACAACAGUGCCUUUUUUUUAUAAUUUCUUUUUCAAAAGCUUUUUGAAUUAAAAUAAUUAAAAAAGAAACUACCAUUUCAAUUGUUGUUACCAUUGCACUACAAUGGUUAAACUAUAUGAAUAUGAUUGAUGCAUAUAAUUUAUUUUAUCUCUUUUUAACUUUUUCUUUUACACAUUUUAUUUACCAAUGAACCCCAACCACGAUAAUUUUUGGUCCAAUUUUAUGUAAAAUUAUGACAAUUUUCUAUGUAUCACAAGUCAACAAAAUGUCUCAUCUUUUAAUUAAAAAUGCAUCCAAUAACCCAAUUCUCAAAUUUUCAAAUUAUAUUUCUAUCUCACACUUUGAAAAUUACUCAUAUCAAUACCAACAAUUUUCAACUCAAUCAAAUAAUCCUAAUAUGCCUUAUGGGGUUCAAUUGGAUAGUAGUGGUGUACAAUUAAAUGAUCAAGAGCUUGCAACAUCAUAAUUUUGCACUCAAAGUGACUUAGAAACUAGUAUUAUCCUGGUGAAGAAGUCAGAACUACAUCGGUUAUGAAUAUGUCGAAAAUAAAAUUUCAAUAAAAAAAAGAUAAACUUCUCAUUUAAUCAUGACUCAAUAUUUUAAAGGAUCAAUUGUAAGGAUUGAUAAAAAAAGAAGAUAGUUUUUGAAAGAGAAUUGAUUAAAAUUAUAACAACCACUCUCUCAAAAAAAAAAUUAUAACGACCAUCGCCUCAAGAAUAUAUAUAUAUAUAUAUUUCUUAUAACUUACUUGUGUCGUGUAGUUUUCUUAUAAUGAGGAUACACUAUUUUAGCCAGCAAACCUUCAGCAACUAUAGAGUAUAGACAUCGUAAAUGGUCUACACAUAUAGGAAUAUGCUUCAUAUAUUCAUAGCCACGACAUUCCUACUUCAUUGGUUCCUUGUUUGGCCAACAUUCUGGUUCCUAUUAUCUUCUAACCAAUGGUGAGUUUAUGCAUUAAUAGAAUAAGCUAAUAACAAAAGGUUUGCUUCAAUUUGUAUACAAAAAGUUCCACUUAACAUUGAUAAUUUGAUACAGUUUUCAGAAAUAGACAGGUUAUGAGUUGCCUCUUAGGGGUUUCCAACAGGGGAUGAUUAGUCACUAACACAUAUGAUUAGCGUUGGAGAAACUAGAAUAGAACUCUGAUUGCAACAUAAAUAAAUUUUUUCUUUUGGGUUUAAAAAUGAUCUAUCAUCUAUAUUGUCGUAGUCAUGUAGAUUUGAUUCUUCGCAAAUAAAAAUAAGGUCGAUGUAAAUAUUAAUAUGUUAAUUUUUAUACUAUUCAAUUUCACGAGGUCGACACCGACACUUGAGGUCAUGGGCGUAGUCGCCCGGGCUGGAUCGAUCCUCUCUUCAUAUUAGACCCAACCAUAGUCAGUAAUUCUGCCAAUGGAAUUCGUGCGUACCGUUUGCCGUUAUUUUCCAUACCGAAUUUGUGAAAGCGGCGAUGAAUAUGGAUGAAUAGCAGUUGUGAAAUUGGAACCGGUGAAAAAAUGGAGUGAAACGGUUUUGGGUGAAUCAGGGGAAGGUGAAGGUGGUUUUUAAAACCAAGGUGAGGUAGUUUUUUUUUUUUUGUUACAACAAUUAUCUACCGUUAGAUGCUUUUCUUUUUCGAUGAAAAAAUAAUAAUAAUAAUAAUAAGGGAACUUCUAUGGUACACUCACAAUUUUGAGUGUACCGGUACUCUUGUUUCACAAAAUAUAUAAAUUAAUGAUCACUUUAAUGAAAUAAAAAGGUAUUUGUCAAUAUUUAUAUUUUAGAAAACAUCAUUUCAUAAGAAAAACCAUCAUUUCAUUGUUUAUAAGGAUCGUAUUAAAAAAAUUUCAUUUUGUCAUAAAAAAUAAUCAAUAUUCAUUGUUAUGAGUAAUAAAAAUUCUUAAAAAUUAAGUUUUAUUUCGUCGAAGCUUUUGAUAAAUAAAAUUUAAUUAUCUUAGUUGUCAAUGAUAGAAAAUAAUUAUUUUUCUUCAAAAAAACAACUCAUUUAUUAUUAAUUUUACGACUUAGUGUACCGAUACAUCCAAAUUUAUUGGGUGUACCAUAGAAUUUGCCUAAUAAUAAAUUGGUUAAUGUGUUAAAUUAGACCGGCUUCUCUCCCCAUCCACGUCACCUUAUAAUUUAAAAUAUAAAUUAAAUUAAAUUAAAUUAGACGGAUCCCGUGAGCAUAGCUCAGUUGGUAGGACAAUGCAUUAUUUUAUAGGCUAUCUGACAAAAAAAAUUAAAUUAGACCGGCUUCUCUUGUGACCAUAAUAUUUCUUUUUUAUUUAAUCUUUUUGUUAUUAAAAAGUUUUAUCUGAUUUUAUUUUUUAAGUAUACCAAACUUUGUUGAUAGUAUAGUUAUUAGUAUAUCAAUAUAAUAUUAAUAUUACGAAUUCAAGCGUACCGAUUCUGCAUACCCCCUCACGUACCGAAUACUUUGUAGAUUGCAAAUUGUGUACCACAUACUGAACGAAUUACGAACCUGAUUAUCAAGAUUAAAUUGCGCAACAAGAUCAACAAUGUGUGGUUCAAUGACUUGAUGAUAUAUUCAUCGAGCAGGAGAUAUUCAAGUCACUUGACGAUGUUGAUAUUGUUCGAACAUUCACCACAAAGAGGUCUCGGGGAGGGCAUUUACAUCCUAAUUUUAUUUAGCACCCUAUUGGUAGGUUAUAUUUCAUCUCUCUUAUUUCAAAUUGUACUUUUGUUGAAAAAAUGACGAAUCUCUUUUAUUUCGAUUUAUGACCAUUUAUAUUAUGUCACAUGUGAAUUUGCGAUAAAUUUUUUGCCCACACUCUAUAGAAUUUCUGGCUCCGCCACUGCUUGAGGUGAUAUCUUAAUAGUAUGAAUGAGUUUGGUCUUGUAACUUUGAGUUAUAAAAGAUCAAAUUUUCCACAAAACGAUUGUAAAAAUUUCUCUUUAAUUAAUGUCAUUUUUUUUUUCAGGUAGUCUAAUGGCUAGAAUUCACCUUAUAAGGUGAAUAAAUGGGGUGUCCGGGGUUCGAAUCUCAAUCACUGCAUAUAAUAAUGCAUUAUCCUACCAACUGAGUUAUGCUCACGGGACUAUUAAUGUCACUUUAAUUAAUAAAAAAAUUUCUCCGUCUCAAAUUUAAGAAAAUGAGGCCGAAAUUAUAUUUAAUAGAGAUAGUUAAUAUUUAUGGCUAAUUCUUUAAUGCACAAAUGAAGUAGAUGCUGUAGCAUGUAAGUUUUCCAACAUUUGAUCAAUAAGCCCAUCUAUUGGAUGAACUCACAUAUGGAAAUUUAUUGAUUCAAUUAACAGUGAAAAAAUAAUUUUGUACAUGAUUCAAUAUUAUUUUACUUAUACAUCAUUGAAUUAACUUGAUAUUUAUUAGAGACAAAGUAAAAUUAUUCAAUAAUAUUUACAAAAAAAAAAAAAAAAAAAAAAAAUAGUUGAGAGACAUCUCUCAAUUCUAAAAUGAAUGUUCCUUAAAUUGAAUUUUAAGCUUAACUUUUGUUUAGUUUUUCCUCUGCUUCAUGCACAGAUCUAGCAUUGGGAAGUAGGGUCAGUUGUCCUCAUUUGUUUAUUAUUCAUGUUAAAACAAUACUUACAUAUUGUUCAUAUUCACUAUUUUUUUUCAAUUCUUAUUAUGUUUUUACCUUGCUUCUAUUGGAAUAAAAAAAAAACUAACAAUUAAGAGCAAUUUUUUUUUUUACAAAAACAAAAUGAUAUUCAUUCAUUCAAAUCGAGAGAUUACAUCAUUCAACACCGCUAAAAACGUAAAGGAUGAAUCUGCGAACAUACUCACAACAUCCAAGUUAAUAGUAUAUAACGACAUAAUACCUACAAAAAUAUAUGAUAAAAUCAAAGUGACCGGAAUAUCCAUGGCCUCCGGAUCUGCAACGUUGACGCCCAAAUCUUUGAUUGAAUAACCGAUCUUCAAAAUGAAUCAGAUGAACACCGCAAGAAGACGGGAAAUCAAACAGCGCCGCACAAAACGACGAACAACAAACCACCACACUUAGAUGAUGAAAUCACAAAGAAAAAACUUAGAUCUAUAUGAAAAUCACUUAUUUAAAUUAAAAUAUAGAGAAAAAGAUGAAGAUGGGUGAUUUCAGGUCAAUAGUUGAUCCAAAACCACCCCUGAAUGGAAAAUCUAGAAGAGAAAACUUAGAGAGAGAAAAUCACACUUAAAUAAAUUUUUAUUGCUCAUGUGUUUAUAUAUUUUUAUAUAAAUUUUAUGUUAUGACCUUAUCAGUUAUUAAAAUGUUUGGAUCCGUAUGUGAUCUGAAAAUUUUGAUGUUAUCACGCACUUUUCUUUUAGUCUUUGAUUAUUAAUUUGGAAAAUUGGAUACUGGAAGUGCACUUAACAGGCUAUGACCCCAUACAUACACUAAUGGAUUGGGUUGGUUGAGUUAAUAUUGUCAUCAUGCCUAAAAGCUAAUUUACUUAUUCACUCAUCUUGCUAUGUCCUUUGGUUGGUCACCAACCUCCUACUACUUACCACCUUUCAAAGAGCAAUCAUGCAUGACUAUGUAUUUCCACUUGCAAGAGGAUACAUCACAAUAUAUUCGUUUUCGUAAAAGAAAAAAAAAUGGUCCCCUCCUGACCAAAAAAAAAAAAAGGUCCCAUUUUAUCUCUCAAUUUAAAAUGUUAAUGAAUUUUUUUAAAGAUAUUAAUGAAACAUAAAUAUUUAUUUUUUAUGAUACUAUUUAAUAUUAUUACUUUCAUUUUUCAGUUCUUUUUUUGAUACAUAUUUUUUUGUCAAGUAGUCUAAUGGUUAGAAUUCACUUUUUAAAAUGAAUAAGUAGAGUUUUCAGAAUUCGAACUCAAACCCAUAUAACAAUAUAUUUUUCUUGUCAAUUGAGUUAUGUUCACAUAUACCUUUGUCUCGUACAUCCCUCUAUUUUUUUUAUUUUUUUUUGUAAUUUUAUAAAAUAACUCAUAAUUUCUCUCUCUCUUAUAAAAUUAAUAUAUUUUUUAAUUUUUGCAAAACAUCAAAAUAUAUUUUUUAAAAUGGUGAAUAUAUAUUAGUCAAUUAAUUAACUUGGAUAUUUGGUUUGAUCCCUCGUUGAUUAAUUCAUAUACAUUUUGUUCUACUGAGUUUAGCUCAGUUGAUAUGGACAAUGCAUAAUACAUGCAAAAUCUGGAGUUCGAACCUUAACCACUACAAAAAAAAAAUCAUAUACAUUUCAGGUGACUAAUUAUUUCCUAUAUUGUGUUUGACUACAAUUUUUUUUGACAUAAGUUUGACUACAACUUUUUUUUGUUUUUACAAAAGUUUGACUACAACUUUUGUUCAUAGUAGAAUUUACACAUAUUUAUAUACGAAGAAUGCUAGCAGCAAACAUUUCAACAUAAAUUUUUUAACACAUUCUCUCUUUGAUUUAUUAAAAUUUAUAUGGGUUCCACCAAAUCAUGUGGAUCUCAUAUAAAUUUGGUGGACCUCAAAUGAAUUUUAAUCAAUUAAAAAGAGUGUAUUGAAAAUAUGUAUUAGAAUGUAUCUUGCUGACAUUUCUUUUUAUAUAUUCAUCAUCAUGUUCAUCGCUGAGCUACCUGCAAGCUAAAUCUAUAACAUUUUAUUUUUGUUAACAUCUUGGUUAAACUAUCCCUAGGUAGUUAAUUUUUUUUUUUUAAGGAAGGCCAGGUAAUUAAUUUGAAAUGUCUGUCCUUUUUUUUAAUAUAAAAAAAGUAUAAAAUAUCUGUAAGUGGCAGCUGCUUCACUAUCCCAACUAACCCCAAUAUUUGGUGAUCAAUCAAUAAUAUAUAAAAGUUUAAAUGGUAUGCAGGAAUAUGUAGAAUGGUUUUACGUUGAUAUCUGAUGAGAGUAUAUUGUUUUAUUACAUCAUUUUUUUAAGUUUAUAUUUUGAAUUUGAUGUAUGAAGGAGUGAAAUAGUACAUGUGUAAAAUAAAUAGUACGUUGAUAUCUCAAGUAUUUUUAUUUUAUUUUAGAAUAAAAUAAUUAACAUAUUACCCAAUAUCAUUUUGUUUAUGUUUUGAUUUUUUUUUUAACAAUAAAAAAUGAAUAUAUAUUAGAAACCCAAAAGAGGAGUCUCAAGCACAAGGUGUGCUAGAGAAUGGCUCAACGGUAUACAGUUACAAAGAUAAUAGUGAAAAAACAGACAGUCUAGCCAAUGCCAAAACAAACAAAAGGGUUUGAUCGCCACAUAUGAAAAUUAUGACAAAUAAAAAUAUUAGUAGCCUUCAUCUACCAUAAAGAAUGUAAUUUGAUUUUCUCUGUCAAUUGAUGAAUGUUAUGGUCCAUAUUUUUGAAGACCCGACUGUUUCUUUCAGUCCACAGAACACAACCAUAUAAGUUGCAUAAAAGAGCGAAUGGUACGCGGGCCGUCUACAGAAUAAACAAACUGAUAAAAAUGAUAAGACACAUAUAAUGGCUCGGCUGUAGCUAUACCUAAUCAGGACCGAAUUUGUCCCCACAAAGCAGCAUAAAACAGACAAGAACAUAAUAUAUGUUGAGCAGUCUCGAUGCCGCCGCAACCCACCACACAAUGCUGAUUAUCAUGAGGAAGAACACCGUGCACAAACAAAUUAUCCUUCGUCAGCAAUCUAUUCUGAAGGAGUCUCCAUGCAAGAAUAGAAACCUUCAAGAAAAUCUGUUUGUGCAAAAUUAAAUCUGAUAAAACUUCUGUUGUCUGAAACUUAUGUUUUGAUUUCUUAUAUGUUUUUUCCACCGGAGAUAUCCUAAUUGAACACUAAGGCAACCUUUAGCAGAAGUUCUUCGACAGUUUUGUAGAAAUAAUAUUCGAACAACUAUUUUGGGAUAAUUUAUGAAUAAUUUUUCUUUUCAUACUCAAAUUUUUUUUUGCUUUUGUAUCGGUUUCCAACACAUCAAUGGUAGGCGACUAAUCUGGCUUGUGUGUAGAGGUAUACGCAUUGUCCAAACGUUGCCACUCUUUCUCUAUUGUUUCUUAACCAAUAAGAAAAAAUAAAAAGAAUAUUAUCAUAAACGUUCAUAUAAAAUAGUUAUACAAAUAUCAUUGUUUUUUUUAACGGAUAAACUUGGAUUUUCCGGUCACACAAAUCAAGGUAAAGUGUAGUCAAACUCAUCUUGAGCAAAUACUUUCAUUGUAAAAAAUACUACCGUUUCUUCCAUAAAAAAUGUUAUAUAACUUGUGAUCAUUUGAAAAUAUUACAAUCAAUUUUUAUCUUAUAAUUUCAUUUUAAGUUGUAAUAAAAUUAUUUGUAAAUAAAAUAUUAAUAUAUGAAGUAUAUGAGCCGAAGUUCAAACUUUUGACGUUGUUGUGGGAAUUAAUCACUUUCUGUUAGACUCAGUUUUAUUGCAUAUAUCGGGAAUCCUUUGGUUGACUAAAAUCUAACUUAUGCAAAUUGAUUUUAGAAUAAUUAAGUUUUUAAAGUUGUUUGGUUUGGCAUUUCAGAAUUGCUUCUUUUCUCCAAAAACAAUUUUGGUUGAAACCACAAUUUUUAGCUUUUAGGUUAACUAGAAUCAAUUCUCCAAUAAAUUUUAUAUUUUAAUUAUUACAAUCUAUUAUUUUUCUUUAUUGUUCUUUAUCAAUUCUCAUUCUUUUUGCUUUGAAAUUAAUUUAAUGAACCAAUUAAAUCAGAAAACUUAAAGAACCAAAUUAGCCCCCGAAAGAGAUAGUAAUAAUUAUCAUUUUAACGCUCAACCUAUUAUUUUCCUUUUCGAAUUUUCCUUUGCGGUGUUUCCGUUCAGAUUUACUGUAUUUUUUCUUUUACCUUUUUUUACGCUAUAUUUUAUCAUUUUUGACAACUAAUUAUUUUACUUAAAUAUAUUUUAUCAAAAAUUAUAAAAUGUAUGAACAAAUAUUUGGUAAAAAAAUGGGUUUAAUGAUUGUAUUAAUAAUUUUUUAAAAUUAAUAUAUAAAAAAUUUAUUUAUUUAAAUUAAAUAAUAUAUCUACAUUUUAUAUUGAUCUACAUAUUUAUAAAAUAGUAUUUUUUUUUAAAUUAAUUAAUUAAAUUAACUGGUAUUAAGUUAUGUUCAUUUAAGUAAUUAUAUUUCCAAAACCAAUUUUGAUCAAAACUAUCCAAACAACAUUCAAUUGGUUUAAUCAAUUCUGCAUUAUUGUAUCUAAACAUAAAUCAAUCCUCUUAAAAUUAAUCCUGUCAUAAUCAACCUACCAGAAUCAAUUUUAUCCAAAGCUAAACCAAACAUACAUAAUAAUAAUAAUAAUAAUGGUCGUAUUGGACGUGCUAGUUGCUACGUAAUCGUGCCAUAUUUAUCUUCCAGAGAGCACAGCAUAACGUCAGGUCACACUUUUCUUUCAAAAAAAAAAAAACGUCAGGUCACACCAUUAACCCAAGGCACUACUGCCACGUUUAACAUUUAAUAUUGUCAUUAUACAUUUGUUUAUUCUUUUCUUUUGUUGGUAAUAAUAUUUAUUUAUUCUUUUGUCUUCCUAAAAUCAACCAAGUUCGAGUAAAAAAAAGCAAAUCAACCAAGUUGAAUGGACUCUUGUGAAUUAAUUUUAGACUAAAUACAUCUUCGGAUCUUUUAAAUUUCAUGUUUAUUUCAGAUAGAUCCUUUAAGAUUUUAAGGUUUUAGAUAAGUUCUUUAAGUUUUGAGUUUAUUUCGGAUAGAUCCUUUAAGUUUCUAAGGUUUCAGAUAGGUCUUUUAAGUUUCGAGUUUGUUUCAGAUAAGUCCUUUCUAUCAAACUCCGUUAAGCCAAAGUUGAUUUGAUAGAAAUGACAUAUCUGAAACAAACUCGAAACUUAAAGGACCUAUCUGAAACCUUAAAAACUUAAAGGAUCUAUCCGAAACAAACUCGAAAUUUAAAGGACCUACCUAAAAUCUUAGAAACUUAAAGGACAUGUUUAAGUGAAACUUGAAAAAAUCAGGGAGAUAUUUGGGCUUAAUUUUUAUUAUAGUACUUAUUUUCCAUUUUUCUUAUGCAUGAUACAACAAGAAGCAAACCGUUCAGUACGACAAAAUUAAUUAGUAAACGGUCAAUAUCCAUAUUGCGUUGUAUUAUAGACUUGUAGCAUACCGUAAUAAAACAGCAGCUAUAGUUAACCCAAAAUAUUGAGAAAAAAAGCUCUUUCUUUUUUCUUUUUUUUUUGGUUUCAAAAAAGCUCUUUCUUAUUUUCUUUUAAAAUAUAGCAAAAUUUUCUUGACCGAAGUCCAAUAUAUUUAAAUUAAAUAAGUUUCAUUUCCUAAAAUAUAAAAGUUAUAUAAGAUUCAUGCCACUAAAAACUCAAGAUACGCACUAUCCUAACUCUAAUUUGCACUUCAAACUUAUAUUGACAUGAGCGUUCAAGUGUUUUCCCCUACACUUCACCGCCGAAAUCACCUCCCCCUUCGAAGUAUCACCUCAACUUUAGAUUAUAGUAAAAAAAAAAAAAAAAAACCUUUAUUCACGAAACAUUUUUUCCAUCAACCCACCAAGAUCUCUUACCUUUUCUAGAUAAAUAUGAAUAAAAUUGUAGGUCAUAUAUCAUUUUUUUUUUGUAGUGGUCGGGAUUUGAACUUCGAACCUUGCAUGUUUUAUACAUUGUUUCAAUCAACUAAGUUAAGCUCACGAGGACUGUAUGUCAAAUAUCUAUCUAUAUAUAAUGUGUAAGUUACAUGUAUAAAAUUAUAAAACUAUUAUUUUUAAUGAAGUGAUUUGAAGGGGAGAAGAGAACUUAGUUUUACUGUAUAAAUUAAAGACAAUAUAAAAUAUAUUUUUAAUGAAUAAAAUAUUAUUGAAGUGUCAUACUUUUAAGGAACUUGUUGAAUUGUUAUAUGUUAUUCAUUUAUCCGGUUGUUUGAAUUCUAUUAAUGUAUUAUUAUUCAUUUUUUGGGUCAAGUAGUCAAGUGUAGGGGGUGGCAAAACAAACAUAACCUGCUGGGCCGGCUUGUUAGCCCGCUAUUUUUGGCAGAUUGAGUCAAAAUUUUGAACUCACUUUCUAUAGUUGACUCGUCUCGUUUAACUCGUUGAAAAACAGGGACGGGUAACAUGUUUUUUUUUAACAAUUAAGUUAUAAAAAAAUACAUUAAAAAAAUUGUUUUUUUAUCAAAAAAAAAAGUUUUUUUGUUUAGCGGGCUGACCCAUUAACUCGUUUGUUCAAAUGUUUUAAAACCUGGACCGAUGAUCGACCCGGUCAAGGUAUUGGGCCACUGAUUAGACCGCAUGACUAUUGACUCGGUGUACAUAAAAAAAUUUAUGACAAAAAAUUACAUUAUGAAUGAAAUUUUGAUAAAAAAAUAUCCUGUCUUUUUUUUUUUUAUUUAAAGUUCGUACAUUAAAAAAAUUAUAUUCAUUGAUGCAAAUUUGCUAGUUAAUUUCUUAACUGCAGCACAAUUAAAGCUAAUUUCAAUCCAAAUUCAAAUCAUCUCAUACAUUGAACAAUAGUGCUGCAUAAAAAAAAAAAAAAAAAAAAAUCACAAAUAAGUUAUAAUUCAGAUUCCAUCUUUAAAACAUAAUAUGUUCUAAACAUUGUUGGAAAUCAAAAUAUAACAGACUUACAAACCCAAGUAAGUUACAUAGUUAACAAAAAACAGAAACUCAAAUAAGUUAUAACAAUUCACUAAUCAAUAAACUAUUCCGAUGGAGUCAAAUUGUCAUAGUCUUGAUAUCCAUAUUCAUCAUCUUCAUUGGUUGAGCUGGAGAGGAGAAUGGCGGUUGAAAAUGGCAUUUGGGUUGGGAGUAUGUGUUACUAGGGUUUUUGUCUUUAUAUAUGCCAUGCCUUUUUAUUAAAAAAUAAAUAAAUAAAUGGAAAAACGGGUAUGGUGGGCUAAACAGGUCUGCAUAAAACAGGUCCGCCAACUGACCCGACCGGGUCACACUGGGUUAAUUGCAUAUCUGGUCUUGUAGCCUGCCCGAACCGCUGCACCCUCUAGUCCGACCGGCCGAGUCGGUCCGGGUUUUAAAACACUGGUCUGUCCGCCAUUAAAUGGGGGGGGGGGGGUGAGAUUUUGAACUCGAUCACCAAAUUUGACUCGGCGUCUCGUCCCACACAAUGUGGUGAGACAUACAUUGAUUUCAUCCGAUGAAAGAGUAAGUGUUAAAAAAUGAGUAUUGAUAACAUUUAUUUAUUAUGCAAUGUCUCUGUCGGUUGACUAUGCUGACGAGGACAUUGAUAUAUUAUUAUAAAUAGUGUGGGGUUGAUUUUCUAGUACAAUAUUAAUAAUAAUAAUACUAUUAAUUUAAUUUCUUCGAUCUUAGUUUUUGAUCAAUUUUGUUUUGACUAAUUAAAUUAAAUUUAGUUUUUAAUUUAAUAAUAAUAGAAAAAUGAAUCAAAUUUUAUAUAAGCAUAAGGGAAAAAAUAUAGAAUGAGGAGACAUGAUGGAGGGGAUCUAUCUACCACCGACACGACACGAGGUGCUGUUGGUCAGCAAAUAAUGAAAAGAGAGAGGAAAUGAAAUGAGAUCCGGUGGCAACCGGUAAGGGUUGGUAAUGACCGGCAAUAUCCGGUUAAUAUAAUCACUCACCAACCCCGUGAAAAGUAACUGCGCACCGAAAGAUCCGGUGACCAGUAAUUGUGGGUAUUAUGAGUAUAAAUAGGAAGAUAGUGUCGUUGGACUAAUCACACCCGUCAUUCAAGUGAGUUUCAUAACCUUCUGCUCUGUUCCUGUUCUGUUCUAGUCAGAGCGAGUGAACCUCCUUUUCAUUUCUACUUGCACCCCCCCCCCCCCACUCGCUCCAGGUUCCUUUCUUCUUCUUCUUCUUCUUCUACUAUUUACAUGCUCUUUCUAUUCUAUGUCUUUUAAUGAUUGUUUUCUUUUUGUAAAUUAACCAUAUCAGCUUUAGAUCUGAAUUUUCUUCUUCUUUUAGAAUUGCUUCAUUGUUUAUGAUUCUGAUUGUUAUAGUUUAUUAAGGUUGUAGUGUUUAUACGAAUUUGUUACCGUUAGGUAGUUGACCUGUCCAAUCCUGUUCGUUUGUUAAACCUUGUCGUUUUGUGUUAUACUAGAUCUGUUAGGGUAUAAUAUGUUCUAACCGCUACAGUUUAUGGAUCUACAUUUCUAGCUGCUAAUGUCAUGUAUUAGUUGCCCUUUCUUCCAUUAAAACAUGUUUAUGGAUAUUCACUUAUAAAUAAAAUAAAUUGAGUUUUGUAUUUUGCAGUUUGGCUCUUUCAGACUAUAAAAAUAACUCAUAUGCAAAAACUAAUCUUAAUUAAAAAUCAGUUAUGGACUUAUGGUAAAGUUCUUUUUAUAUUUUUCUCCACACAUGUUAAGAAAUUUGUCUGUUUACACGUGAUUUAAAUUUUGGCUAAUUUUCUGAGCACUAUGAUUUCGCAUCCCAAGGAUUCAUGUAGCAUGAUUUUUGAGACAUAUGGUGCUGUGUGCUUUCAUGAUUUUUGAAAAAUUCAAUAUUCUGUCUUGGUGAUUAGGGAAUCUUGAUAUGCUAUACACUUGGCUGCAAUUUUUUAUCAGGACCAAUAGCUUUUAAAUUAUUUUAAUCAUAAAGUUUCAGAUAUCCUUUCAAUUGUUUUCGGAUAAGUGGCUUUAUUCCUUUUGCAGUAUGAUCUCGAAUAUUAGCUAUCUUCUAUUGAUACGCACCGAGAAAAGUUUAUUUUUUUGGUUUCACUUAUCUGGUUAUCAGUGAUCAAGUUUUGUGCUUUUGUAGUACUAAACAUAUACUUUGUUGUUUUGUGUAGCUUGAACAAUGGCGGAAACCUUUCUAUUUACAUCUGAAUCAGUGAACGAGGGUCACCCCGACAAGCUGUGCGACCAGAUCUCUGAUGCAGUGCUCGAUGCCUGUCUUGAACAGGAUCCUGACAGCAAGGUUGCCUGUGAGACUUGCACCAAGACUAACAUGGUCAUGGUCUUUGGAGAAAUAACAACCAAGGCCAAUGUAGACUAUGAGAAGAUCGUUCGUGACACAUGCCGCACCAUUGGAUUCAUCUCUGAUGAUGUUGGUCUUGAUGCCGACAAAUGCAAGGUCUUGGUUAACAUUGAGCAGCAGAGUCCUGAUAUUGCUCAGGGUGUUCACGGACACUUCACCAAGCGCCCGGAGGAGGUUGGUGCUGGUGACCAGGGUCACAUGUUUGGCUAUGCUACUGAUGAAACCCCUGAAUUGAUGCCUUUGACCCAUGUCCUUGCAACCAAACUUGGUUCUCGUCUUACCGAGGUUAGGAAGAAUGGUACCUGCGCUUGGUUGAGACCUGACGGCAAGACACAAGUUACCAUCGAGUACUACAAUGAGAACGGUGCUAUGGUUCCAGUUCGUGUCCACACUGUCCUCAUUUCUACUCAACACGACGAGACUGUCAGUAACGACCAGAUUGCUGCUGAUCUUAAGGAACAUGUUAUCAAGCCUGUUAUUCCCGAGAAGUACUUGGAUGAGAAGACAAUCUUCCACCUUAACCCUUCUGGACGCUUUGUCAUUGGUGGUCCCCAUGGUGAUGCCGGUCUCACCGGAAGAAAGAUUAUAAUUGAUACUUAUGGUGGCUGGGGUGCUCACGGUGGAGGUGCCUUCUCAGGAAAGGACCCAACCAAGGUUGACAGAAGUGGUGCCUAUGUUGUAAGGCAGGCAGCCAAGAGUAUAGUGGCCAACGGUCUUGCUCGCAGAUGCAUUGUUCAAGUUUCAUAUGCCAUUGGUGUGCCUGAACCUUUGUCGGUCUUUGUUGACAGUUAUGGAACUGGAAAGAUUCCUGACAGGGAGAUUCUUCAAAUUGUGAAGGAGAAUUUCGACUUCAGACCUGGAAUGAUCACCAUAAACUUGGACCUUAAGAGGGGUGGCAACAGCAGGUUUCUUAAGACAGCUGCUUAUGGACACUUUGGAAGGGAUGAUCCUGACUUCACAUGGGAAGUUGUGAAACCACUCAAGUGGGAGAAGCCUCAAGCUUAAGAAUUGUGUUGCGGAUUUAUAUUCGUCCCUUUGACGGUUGUCUUAUUAGGUGUGGAUGAAUAAUUUGCGUGUUUAGUUAAUUGUUGCU
rnacentral:lncRNA from 1 species